UGACAGAGCAUUAGGCUACUAUUGGUCUUCUGAUGACACCCCCCCCCNGGUUGAACUAUGGGUAGCUGAGGACCACCAUAGGUCUCUGAGCCAGUGCCCUUAUAUACUAUAGGAUGGAAUCCCAAGGAGAGUCCAGACCCAGAGCUUCUGGAAAGCGCACCCUCCUGGGAACUGAAAUGACCAUCCAAGUAUGUAUCCCACUGGCCUAGGGUGAGCAGGUGGCUAAAUCCCAGAUGCAGAAAAAGGAGUGAAACCACUUUCCAGGUAGUCCUUAAGUUUCUAGAGCACAGCCGUUUGAUCACAAAGCAGAAUUGAAGGUUAAUCCCAG
rnacentral:lncRNA from 1 species